UACGGGGGGGGCAAGCGUUGUUCGGAAUUACUGGGCGUAAAGGGCGUGUAGGUGGCCAACUAAGUCCGACGUGAAAUCCCCAGGCUUAACCUGGGAACUGCGUCGGAUACUGGAUGGCUUGAAUUCGGGAGAGGAAUGCAGAAUUCCAGGUGUAGCGGUGAAAUGCGUAGAUAUCUGGAGGAACACCGGUGGCGAAGGCGGCGUCCUGGACCAACACUGACACUGAGGAGCGAAAGCCAGGGGAGCAAACGGG
rnacentral:rRNA from 1 species